AUGAGCACCACUGAGUUUUAUACUCAGCGUGUUGAUUUUAUCACGCGUAGGUUGAAGUCUGUAUUUGCUGUUUGAAGACCAGAAGAGUAGCAUCAGAGCUGAAGCGAUAUUUUAGUAGUUGAUUAGUGUUUUAUGUAAUUAGGUAUUAUGGCAUGUAUAAGUAGUCCAUUUUGGAGACUCUAUUAUGUAAUUUAUACUUUAAGUCUACUAUUGUAAAUUAAUUGGGUGUAAUUAUUGGAAGAUAAACUUGGACUUAUUUAUUGUGUAGAACAUUCAAAGUAAUAUGUUUAACUAAA